AUGGUGGAGAUUUCAGAGGAGCGAUUGGCGGAGUUCGGGGGGAGAGACCACCGCAAACGCGCGCGCUUGGUGGAGAUUGGGACCUGGUUCCAAACCAAGGCGGAGAUGCGGGCGGAGGCGCAGGCGGUGAUAGACGCGCUGUCCGCCGAGGAGGAGCGAGACCUGAGUGCCACAAAGUGGGGGCAUCACCCUCUGGAGGUGCUCCUGUGGGCAACGACGCAGGCGGAGUCGUCGGAUGCGAGGAGGGCGGCCAAUGGGCCCGUUCCUCUCCUUCGCCACUGCGAAGUUGAAGCCGGCAAUGGAUCCCGCGGCACUGCGGGGAGACGAGGUGGUGUUGGGGCUCCCUGCACCAGGAUUGAAGAUUGCCCCGCUGGAGAUCGACGGGGAAGGCAGCAGGAGCAGGAAGGGGGCGACGCGGGGAGGCAAGACGGCGAUAGCUCCAAGGCGUUCGCCUCGUCUGAAUCCAGAGCCAAUCGAGCAGCCGCGCCGAUCCGCUCACCUGCUCGGGCGCAGGGCCUGAAUUCCCAUUCUUGGAGCAACCGAUUUUGGUUGCUGAUGGGGGAGGGGAGUCAGACCUUGAAUCUGAAGAUGCUACCAAUAAAGAUAAGCAUGAUAUCUGCAAUUCCUCUGUUUAUAUGA
rnacentral:rRNA from 1 species